UGUGUCUCCCUCUGUCAAAAUAAAAAAAAAUAAAAAAAAUAAAGGAAGGUACUUUUCUAGGCCCCAGGAAUUUAACACAUCAUCUCUGCCUACAAGGUGCUUACAGUACAUUCAUCAGAUGGUCUCAAGAGAGCAUAGUAAGUGCUACAAAAGGGGUAAGUGCUGGGAACUUCAGGAGCAUAAUCCAGGGUUGGUGUGUUAGUGUAGUAGAUUACAGAAGUAAGGUACAAACCAAAGCCUGAAAGAUAACUCAAACUGAUAGGAAAAUAAAGAGGCAUGACAGGAGUGUUCUAGGCAGACAGAAUAAGUGCAAAGGCCCAGACUCAUAGAAGCAGGGAAUUUCAGGAAUUAAAGUACUUUGGUGUGGCUGGAACAUAAUGUGCAAGAAUUGGGGUGAGGGGCAGGACUGAGACAGAGGAAGCGGAAGUACACUGAGGUCUUUUAAAUUUUAACAGGAAAAAAACUUGGAAGCCAUGCUGAAGAGGUCAAAGUGCAGCCGGAGGGCAACACAGAAGGACUGAAGGACUUUAAUAAUGGAAAAGGAUGCGAUCAGAAGUUUGUUUGAUAAGGGCCACUCCAGCCACAAUGUGGGCAAGGGGCUGGGAGGGGACCCAGAAUUAAUUAGGCUGGAGGCAAGGAAGGGAGUCAGAGAGAAGAUGUUGCAGGGAUCCAGAGAAGGAGAUGAUGGGGGCCUGAGUUAGUAGUGUGAGUUACGUUGGAAAGGAGGAGACAGGAUAGAGAUAGGUAGGCGGUAACACCGUCAAGACUGACGACUGACCAGCUGAGGGAAUGACGAAGGGAAGAGGCAGGGUGGUAGCAGGUUUCUGGCACAGAUCACUGUGGGCUACCAGCACACAUCUAUUACUAUAAUGAUAACUAUUAUUAUUUUUAAAGAGCCAGGUUUGGAGGUAAGACAGUUUGGGACAUGCUACAUAUUCAAAAGCAGGUACCCAACAGACAGUGGAGAUACACAACUCAAGAGAGAUGGAUUAUGACUGAAGUCACAGAGGGCCUGGUGAGUACAUACAGGAAGAGAGGAGGGCACAGGACAAGACAGACCUCUAGACACCAAUGGCAUUUAGGGGACGGACAGAUCAGAGGAGGUGGCAAAGAGAACUGAAAAGGAAUGGGCAGAUUUGUGGGGAGCCACCAGAGUGGGGGCCACGGCAGCAGUCUGAGUGAAGCAGUGGCCAACAGGGGCAAGGGCUCUAUGACAUCAUGUAAAACAAAGGAAACCUGGAGAGAAGAUCUGUCUUACAAUAGGCAAGGCACUAAGUAUUUUAAGCCAGGGCAGCUUCAGUGCAGAUGUGACUAACCAACAUGUUUGCGAACAGGGUGACUCUCAUGCUCCACUGACAUCUGCUCUCCUGCCAGGGUCUUCAUUCAUGGCCACACGUAAUAUAAAACCACUGAUUUUCUCAUCAUCUUUAAAACAGUCUAUAUUCUUCUAAAAUGAGCCUUUCAAAACCCUAAGUAUUUGCUAACUUAUAAAGAUCCAGUGGAGACACAGUUUCCCUUUCCUCUCCCUCCUUUUUUGUGCGGGCAGCAGAGUCUCCACCCCUAUUUCUGUGGGAGCGCUUACUUGCUAUUGUUCUUAGAGAAGCUGUGGUUUCAGAAAUAGAAAAGGGAAGAAUCUGCCAAAGCAGCAAGUGCAUAGGAGGUGCUCACCCUACGGCUGACGGUCAGAAGGCUGUCCUGCCUGCCCACUGGGCAGUUACUCAAAGAUAUCAUUCCCACUUUGCCUAAAAACUUCACCCCAUUUUAUUAAAUUACUUGAUAUUUCACCCAAUUCAUUUAGCAAAUGAUUCUGAGAAGGCUAGGGAGUUCUCAGCUAUACAUGAAUCACUUGAAUGGUCAGGUUGCUUUCCCCCACCACCUACCUCAGAUCUACCACACUGAGUUGGGGCUCUGACAGGGUGGGGUUGGGAAGAGGACUCAAAAGCAAGGAAAAUUUGGGCCUUACAUGUGAAGCAGGGUGGGCCUCAUUCAGGUACUAUAGUGGAGCGCUGAUGGAAGUGUCCAAGUCCUAUGUGGCUGAAAUAUUGGAAAAGGGAGAAGAGUUCACAUGAGAAGCAUUCAGAAGAUGAAAAGGUAUCAAAGGAAGCCACUGUUCACUUUGGAACAAAGACUCAUCACGAGAUGGAGAAUGUCUUUGGAAACAUCUUGAGAAAGACUAUGCAAAAGAUAUCUUCAAGGUCAGUCCUAACCUGGAAAGC